rnacentral:rRNA from 1 species
CGUACAAUGGGUGGGUACAGAGGGCAGCCAAGUCGUGAGGCGGAGCUAAUCCCUUAAAGCCAUUCUCAGUUCGGAUUGUAGGCUGAAACUCGCCUACAUGAAGCUGGAGUUACUAGUAAUCGCGGAUCAGAAUGCCGCGGUGAAUACGUCCCCGGGUCUUGUACACACCGCCCGUCACACCAUGGGGGUCGGAAAUGCCCGAAGUCGGUGACCGAACCGAAAGGAAGGAGCCGCCGAAGGCAGGUCUGGUGACUGGGGUGAAGUCGUAACAAGGUACC